AGCUUUGCGCAGAGGCAGUGUCGCAUCCAAUGAAGUGCCAACUGAGGAGCGACUAUUGCUAGUUGAAAACUUUUCCCAAUGCCCCGCCUGGACGACGUGAAAUACCGUCGGCCAAGGCAAUUUUUGGGAGGCCUUCACGGGC
rnacentral:snRNA from 1 species